rnacentral:rRNA from 1 species
GCGCACCAGGCGCGAAAAGUUUGCAAUGCGCGCAAGCGUGACAAAGUCAUCCCGAGUGCCACCCGCUGAGGGAGGCUUUUCCACAGUCUAAAAAGCUGGGGGAAUAAGGGGAGGGUAAGUCGGGUGUCAGCCGCCGCGGUAAUACCCGCGCCCCGAGUGGUGGGGGCUUUUACUGGGCUUAAAGCGCCCGUAGCCGGUCAGGCGUGUCUCCAGUUAAAUCCAGCAGCCUAACUGCUGGGCUGCUGGAGAUACUGUAUGACUUGGAGGCGGGAGAGGCUAGCGGUAGUCCCGGGGUAGGAGUGAAAUCCUCUGAUCCCGGGAGGACCUGCAGUGGCGAAGGCGGGUAGCCAGAACGCGCUCGACGGUGAGGGGCGAAAGCUGGGGGAGCGAACCGGAUUAGAUACCCCUGUAGUCC